rnacentral:rRNA from 1 species
AGCAGUCGCGGUAAUUCCAGCUCCAAUAGCGUAUAUUAAAGUUGCUGCAGUUAAAAAGCUCGUAGUUGAAUUUCGGGACUAAUAUGUCGGUCGUGCCUCGGUACGUACUGGCUUAUUGGUUUCUCCUUUCUGAAGAACCAUGAUGUCAUUUAUUUGGUGUCGUGGGGAAUCAGGACUGUUACUUUGAAAAAAUUAGAGUGUUUAAAGCAGGCUCACGCUUGAAUACAUUAGCAUGGAAUAAUGAAAUAGGACGUUUGAUUCUAUUUUGUUGGUUUCUAGGAUCGACGUAAUGAUUAAUAGGGAUAGUUGGGGGCAUUAGUAUUCAAUUGUCAGAGGUGAAAUUCUUGGAUUUAUUGAAGACUAACUACUGCGAAAGCAUUUGCCAAGGAUGUUUUCAUUAAUCAAGAACGAAAGUUAGGGGAUCGAAGGCGAUCAGAUACCGUCGUAGUCUUAACCAUAAACUAUGCCGACUAGGGAUCGGAGAUGUUAAAUUUUUUUAAAUGGACUCAUUCGGCGCCUU